UGGGGAAUUUUGGACAAUGGGCGAAAGCCUGAUCCAGCAAUGCCGCGUGUGUGAAGAAGGCCUUCGGGUUGUAAAGCACUUUUGUCCGGAAAGAAAUCCUUGGCUCUAAUACAGUCGGGGGAUGACGGUACCGGAAGAAUAAGCACCGGCUAACUACGUGCCAGCAGCCGCGGUAAUACGUAGGGUGCAAGCGUUAAUCGGAAUUACUGGGCGUAAAGCGUGCGCAGGCGGUUUGCUAAGACCGAUGUGAAAUCCCCGGGCUCAACCUGGGAACUGCAUUGGUGACUGGCAGGCUAGAGUAUGGCAGAGGGGGGUAGAAUUCCACGUGUAGCAGUGAAAUGCGUAGAGAUGUGGAGGAAUACCGAUGGCGAAGGCAGCCCCCUGGGCCAAUACUGACGCUCAUGCACGAAAGCGUGGGGAGCAAACAGGAUUAGAUACCCUGGUAGUCCACGCCCUAAACGAUGUCAACUAGUUGUUGGGGAUUCAUUUCCUUAGUAACGUAGCCAACGCGUGAAGUUGACCGCCUGGGGAGUACGGUCGCAAGAUUAAAACUCAAAUGAAUUGACGGGGUCAUAGCUGUUUCCU
rnacentral:rRNA from 1 species